GAGGGUGUGGCUCAGUGGUAGAGCACUUGCCUAACAUGUGUGAGGCCCUGGGUUCAAUUCCCAGCACUCCCC
rnacentral:tRNA from 1 species